rnacentral:lncRNA from 1 species
GAAAAUACUUUUACAUACAAAGACAUUGAGAAGUCAGGGAUAUGCCCCGAGUUGGAGCGUCAUCCAAACCCUAAUAUUCCUGCUAAAAUAGCCUGCAGUUCUCAUCAAUUACACUGGAACUACACACAAUGAAAGCGUCUUCAUGGAUUUCCAUGUGAUGAUUCGGGCACCAGCUUAAGUCAGCUGAGUAGAAAAUAACAGGUUUCAACACAAACAUCUGUACAGACCUCACUCUGGAGAAAUUACUUUGCGUGGAACCCAGGAAAUUAGUUGGAAGAAUUUGUUCACUGUCUCUUUCAAGUUUUAACAGCUUUACUUAAGAACUCAACUAGCAGAUGAUUUCUUUCCAUUGCUUUCUAAAUCAAUCACAAAUGUCUCUUUGAGAAAAGACCAAUGAAAAUUAAGUAGUAGUAAGAAGAGACACACCAGUGAUUGCAAAGUGGAGAGGCUGGCUUCCCUCUGUUAUGGACUGGAUUCUGUACCCCCAAAUUCAUAGGUAAACCCUAACUCUCAAUGUGAUGGUAUUUGGAGAUAGGGCCUUGAAGGAGAUAAUUGAGGUGAAAGGAAAUCAUAAAGGUGGAGCCCUGAGCCAAUAUGACUAGUGUGCUCAUGAGAAGAGGAAGAGACACCAGGGAUGCGCACACCCAGAGAAAAGGCCAUGGGAGGACACAGCAAAAAGGUGGCCAUCUGCAAGCCAAGGAGAGAGGCCUCAGGAGAAAUCAAACCUGCCGACCCCUUGAUCUUGGACUUCCAGCCACCAGAACUGUGAGAAAAUAAAUGUCUGUAGUUUAAAACCACACGAUCUGUGCUAUUUUGUUAUGACAGCCCUAGCAGACUAAUAUAGCCUCCAAGUUAAGAGCCAAACUUCCUGUGAGUGCCCUGUCAUUGACCAAGUGGCUUCUAGAACCACUUCAGCCCAUGACUCCUCCACCAGACAUUGUCAGUGCGAAGAGAGUUUUAGGGCCACAGCCAUGAAGAGCUUGAAUGAAACCAGCAGAGCGUUGCAGGGCAGCCUCUGUUUGACCUUCCACUCGGGAAGGAUUAAUGGCCAGCCCUUUGUGUUAGGAGAGGAUGCUCUGGCCACAUGCAGCCAGACAUGGGGGAGUGUUGUUUCCCAGUUCCAGUGAUAGGUUGGCCUACGCUGGUCUCAUGCUCACACUUGGUUCUCCUAGGUCACAAGUUAGCAGGAAGUAAGCAGGGGGUCAGGGUAGGGCUAUUAUUGUUGGCUGAAGCAUAGACUAGAGCAAUUGAUCUGUACAGUAUUGGACCCACAUCUAACUCUGGGGCCCCAGUUGUCUUGGCUUUUUCCAGCUUUGAUUUCACUGCCUCUCUGAGAGUCAGUUUUUCCUACUAAUGGAAUGUUUUCAAAGUGAGCUCAAGCCCAUGCUCAGUGGGAAAUUCUUCCCUGAAAUCAUUUGUCACAGAAUCAUUUGGCCAUCUAAGACGUUUAUUAUCCUACUUACUGGCAGUAAGUUUCAUAGAAGAGCACAAGAUACUCUGUAGAUUUUUGUUCCCCUUAAAAAGCUGAUAUUCUAGAAUCUGUCCAACAU